rnacentral:rRNA from 1 species
GGGUGAGUAACGCGUAAUCAACCUGCCCUUCAGAGGGGGACAACAGUUGGAAACGACUGCUAAUACCGCAUACGAUCCAAUCUCGGCAUCGAGGAUGGAUGAAAGGUGGCCUCUAUUUAUAAGCUAUCACUGAAGGAGGGGAUUGCGUCUGAUUAGCUAGUUGGAGGGGUAACGGCCCACCAAGGCGGUGAUCAGUAGCCGGUCUGAGAGGAUGAACGGCCACAAGGGGACUGAGACACGGCCCUUACUCC